rnacentral:lncRNA from 1 species
GUUGACGAUGUUUUGUGUGUAAUUUAAUUACAUGAGCACUCGUCAAGUUUCAGGAGAAAAUGAGUUAAGAUGGAGAAGUUACGCGACCAGAACCGAUGACUUAAAGUGAAUAGUAACUCCGAUUUUUCGGAGAGGCCAAUGCGUGAAGUAGGCUUCUGGCGCGUAUCGGACUCCGUUCAUAGUAAUCCAAUAGCUCAUUUUGAACGGUUCAGCUAUUCUGGAGCUAAUGGCGCUGACGGAUUUUGAGUUUGAUGCACGGAUUUCGAGAAAAUCUGACAAUACAUGUUUCUUAUGUAAUUGUGCGUCAUUUUGGCCUUUCGGAGAGAGAUCAGAUUUCGUCGCGAAUCCAUGACCGAUCGAAAUGAAACGAAAUCGUGACCUUGUUGUCUCCAUCGUGCUGAGCGCACUGGUGCGAUCUGUUCACAUAUCUUAAUGGACGGAUCUGCGAAGAUCGCGUGUUGAUCGAGGAGAGGUCGGUGAGGGCAAAACGGUAUUUUCACAAAAGUCGCGAUAUUUUAUGUACCGUUUCGCGUGAGAUCGCACGUGGAGGGGUAUUUGCAUGUUUUACACGCGCUGUGAGGAACACGGAAUAAAAUAUAGGAUUUUGAGGGUCUUUUCUGCAAAAUUGCACCUUAUAUAUAUAGUGUAGUCUAGGGUUUGCCCAUUGGAAACCCUAACCCUAGCCUUGCCGUAGCCCCCAGCCACUCCAUCUACCUUCCUUGCCCUUUCUGCACGUACCCCGGCCGCCGGCGCGCGUCUCCGGCCACCGGAGCUAGCGGUUUUGGCUUUCCUCUCCAUCUAUCUCUCCCUCUCUCUCCCUUUCUCUCGGGUUAGAGCCUGGCCGAGGCUGCAUUGCCUCUUGGUCCGUCGCCGGCGUCGCCCCGACCUCGUCGCAGUCUCCCCCGCCGGCCACCGCCGCCCCGAGCGCCGCUGCUGCCACCUUGACCGACCGCGGCCGCCCAGACCUGCUCGGGCUGAGCCGAG